GACGAACGCUGGCGGCGUGCUUAACACAUGCAAGUCGAGCGGUAAGGCCCUUUCGGGGGUACACGAGCGGCGAACGGGUGAGUAACACGUGGGUGACCUGCCCUCAGCUCUGGGAUAAGCCUGGGAAACCGGGUCUAAUACCGGAUAUGACUCCAUGACGCAUGUUGUGGGGUGGAAAGCCUUGUGCGGCUGAGGAUGGGCCCNCGGCCUAUCAGCUUGUUGGUGGGGUGANGGCCUACCAAGGCGACGACGGGUAGCCGGCCUGAGAGGGCGACCGGCACACUGGGACUGAGACACGGCCCAGACUCCUACGGGAGGCAGCAGUGGGGAAUCUUGCGCAAUGGGCGAAAGCCUGACGCAGCGACGCCGCGUGAGGG
rnacentral:rRNA from 1 species